rnacentral:rRNA from 1 species
CUCUGUGACUCCUACGGGAGGCAGCAGUGGGGAAUAUUGCACAAUGGGCGCAAGCCUGAUGCAGCCAUGCCGCGUGUGUGAAGAAGGCCUUCGGGUUGUAAAGCACUUUCAGUUGUGAGGAAGGUGGUGUCGUUAAUAGCGGCAUCAUUUGACGUUAGCAACAGAAGAAGCACCGGCUAACUCCGUGCCAGCAGCCGCGGUAAUACGGAGGGUGCGAGCGUUAAUCGGAAUUACUGGGCGUAAAGCGCAUGCAGGUGGUUUGUUAAGUCAGAUGUGAAAGCCCGGGGCUCAACCUCGGAACUGCAUUUGAAACUGGCAGACUAGAGUACUGUAGAGGGGGUAGAAUUUCAGGUGUAGCGGUGAAAUGCGUAGAGAUCUGAAGGAAUACCGGUGGCGAAGGCGGCCCCCCUGGACAGAUACUGACACUCAGAUGCGAAAGCGUGGGGAGCGAACAGGAUUAGAUACCCUGGUAG